rnacentral:rRNA from 1 species
GAUGAACGCUGGCGGCGUGCCUAAUACAUGCAAGUCGAGCGAACGGACGAGAAGCUUGCUUCUCUGAUGUUAGCGGCGGACGGGUGAGUAACACGUGGAUAACCUACCUAUAAGACUGGGAUAACUUCGGGAAACCGGAGCUAAUACCGGAUAAUAUUUUGAACCGCAUGGUUCAAAAGUGAAAGACGGUCUUGCUGUCACUUAUAGAUGGAUCCGCGCUGCAUUAGCUAGUUGGUAAGGUAACGGCUUACCAAGGCAACGAUGCAUAGCCGACCUGAGAGGGGGAUCGGCCACACUGGAACUGAGACACGGUCCAGACUCCUACGGGAGGCAGCAGUAGGGAAUCUUCCGCAAUGGGCGAAAGCCUGACGGAGCAACGCCGCGUGAGUGAUGAAGGUCUUCGGAUCGGAAAACUCUGUUAUUAGGGAAGAACAUAUGUGUAAGUAACUGUGCACAUCUUGACGGUACCUAAUCAGAAAGCCACGGCUAACUACGUG